UGGGGAGGCACAGCCAGACGUCUACUUCGCUCAGUUACAUCCGAAUUGUGUGUAUGAGUAGAAUAGCACAUUACUAGCAGUCAAACUCAGCUUAAGGUUAAAACAGUGUUUUGAAGAUUUAAAGGUCUUAAUAUGCUGAGGCGUGCAGUAGGGAAAAGUCUGGCGUUUGCGGGCUUUACCAUCCAGUAUGGCUGCAUCGCUCACUGCACGCUAGAGUACAUUGGAGAGCUGGUGGUGUGUUCUGGACCAUCUAUGGAGCCCACCAUCAUCAACCAUGACCUAGUCUUCUCAGAGCGGCUGAGUCGUCAUUUUUACACAAUCAAAAAGGGAGAUAUUGUGAUUGUCAAAAGUCCUUUUGAUCCAAGGAUGAAUAUUUGUAAAAGAGUAAUUGGAUUAGAAGGAGACAAAGUGUGCACCAGCAGCCCGUCAGAUACAUUUAAAACACACACUUACGUCCCGAAAGGACAUGUGUGGCUGGAAGGGGAUAACCUGAGGAACUCGACAGACUCACGGGCUUACGGCCCCGUGCCCUAUGCCCUCAUCCGAGGACGCGUUUGCUUGAAGCUUUGGCCUCCACCCAGUUUUGGAAGACUAAGCAAGAGUCCAACUGGAAGGAUUAUACCAAGGGAUUAAGCUUCUUGCAGGCUGUAAAUGUAUUGUAAGAUAUUGGAACACGAACACACAACUGAGCGAUGCCACUUAGUUUGAACUGCAGCAGGAAAGCAGAGAAGCUGGAGGGAAGCCUGCAACAUGGGCUCCCAAACCCGGGAGGGAGCAGGUAUCACAGCACAAGAUGGAUUCUUCUUCUGCUUCAUCUUUUCCAAGGAGGUAGGAACCACCACAGCGGCAGCUGUAGAUGUAGACCUGCUCCUCUGAAAGUCAGCACAGACGCAAUGAGCGGGAGCUGCGUGUUCAUUCAUUCACACGGAUCAAUCCUAAUAGCACAGACUCUGGUAGAGGGGAGGUGUCCCAUUAAUGUCAAAACUACAGGGUGCUAAAACAACAGGUGAAAACUACAAACCUGAGAGUUUUAACAUUUCCCGUGUGUAAAUAUCCCGCUCACAAGUGCAGAUGUGAAACUGAAAUGUGCUCAAUACGAAAAGCUGCCUAUUUUUUAUGUUGAUGGGGGGGAACAGACAAGUGGGCAAUGGGAAUCAGUGAAUGCAUGCUCAUCAAAUUUAACAGCUUGACUAUUAAAUUAUUUUUAUAAGACAGAUAAAACACAGUUUGCUUUUAUCCUACCUGUUUAUCUUUUUUAGAGAAACGCUUCGCAGUGUGCAGUCAGUCACAAAACUAGGAGCUAUCAACCCUCAUGUCAAAACUCGAGUGCGAAAAUAUCACUCCAGCACAGGUAAUCCAUUAGGAAUGUGAGGAUAUCUCUCAAAUUAAGAAAGAAAUAUAAAUUAGAGAAGGGGGAAAAAAAAGUACAAGGAGAAGGAAAAGAGCGCAGUACCAUGAAAAACGAAAAUUUUUCUGUGCUCACGAGUUUCACAUUUGCACUCGCGAGUGGGAUGUUUAUGCACGUAAUGUUGCAACUUAUAGUUUUGACACUGAUGUAGCGCCAUAGGGUUGUUUAUCCAUUCACUCUGAUUAGUCCCCUGAAAGUCGGCAGACACACCGGGGGGUCAUCCAUUAACAUUACACGGCAGUUUGCCCCAUUACCUGCCUGUUACUUUGCAAGCAUUUUUUUGGUGGUGGAGAAAGAAGGUGAUGGCAGACCCUUACCAUCAUCCCAGCUCAUGUCAUCCAAGCAUAUGUGGGCAUCGACUGGCCAGCUCUGCCUCAGCUCUCCAGCUGCAGGGAAUACAUAUGAAGGUGGUGGUGGUGGCUGGGGUUAUAGCUGAAUCAUAUACAUUUCUCAUGAUUCUACAUGCAGCAUCUAAUUCCCAAAUUAUCAGAAAAAAAAUACAUUUCCAAAAUUUUGUAAUUUCCAAAAAAAAGUUUUAAUGUAGCAAUAUGCUAUGCUAGCUCUGAUGCUGAGAGCUACCCAUGGAGAGUGCUGAAUCUCCUACCAAUGGUCUGUUUAGUCUGAAUGAGUCUCAGACAUGUUCAUGUGAUGUACUGAAUCUUUGCGUCUUUAAGGUUAAACACCCAGUCAGAAAUGGAUCCAGAGAGCACGAUCCAAAGAAAGAAUGGAAUGUAUAUUUCAACAUAUUUCAAUUUUUGUAAUACUUAAUACAUUCUUGUGGUGCAGCAGAACCGUUUUGGUCAUUAGUAAAUUUAUGGCCAGUUGUGGUGAUUAAAACGUGGACUGAGUAACCAGUCUCCAUGGCAGCUGGUAUCGCACAGAUGCCGUUUCCUUUCAGCAGUACUCAAGAGCACUGAGUAACCCAUCUCCGUGGCACCAGGGAUCACACAGGUAACAUAUUUUCAUUCAGUUGUACUCAUGAGCACUAAGUGACCCAUCUCCUUGGCACGAAGAAUCACACGGACACCGUUUCCAUUCAGCAGUCCUCAUGAGAAUUGAGUGUCCCUUCUUUGUGGCACCAGAGAUCACAAGGAUACCAUUUCCAUUUUGCAGUACUCAUGAGUACUAAGUGACCCAUCUCCUGGACACCAGGUAUCGAACCAAUGCCGUUUCCAUUCAGCAAUACUCAAGAGUAACCCGUCUCCGUGGCACCAGGUAUCGCACGGACACCGUUUCCAUUCAGCAGUACUCAUGAGAACUGAGUAACCAAUCUCUGUGCGGCAUCAUUAACAUGGACGCCAUUUCCAUUCAACAGUACUCAUGAGCACUGAGUAACCCAUCUCUGUGGCAGCAGAAUCGCACAGAUGCCAUUUCCAUUCAGCAGUAUUUUUUCCACAAGCAGCGCCCUCAUUGGGCCACGUUCUGCUAUUACACCACCGCAGGUCACGGCAGCAUCUCACCCAGGCAGCCUGUUAGCUCAGCUGGCCGCCCUCCGCUCCACCGCUCCACUUAGCACCAGCGGUGGGAGGCUUCGGGUUUCAGGGGAGUAGAGGCCAAGAGGUCCUGUGUCCAUGUUCAUUAGCUGCAGAGGAGGGGGUCGCCCUCAUGAAGCUGCGUGAUGUCAUCUACCCAGCUGAGCACAUCGUGACACUUCUGCUUCCCAAAUAUUUAGGACACCCAUCAAGCAGGUUGGCUGGUCCUGCAAGCUCAAGCUCAAGGUAAAUAUCAGGGACAGCGCUUGUUCUACCCUUUAAAAUAAUGUGAUAAAGGCAUAUCUGUGAUGGUGAACUGAUGUGCACUGUGAAAGGGUUUGGGGAAGGUGCAGACCCAACACAAGGGAGUGCAGAUGCAGGUGUGUAGAUUAUGGCCAGCCUCAGGACAGACAAGCCACGUGCUGAUGGAGGCAGAUUAAGAUACAGUGCUGGCGCUUGGGGUGGCCUCUUUGAUGUGACACUUCCUGCCCAUGGGGAGAUGCGAUUUCUUGGAGGGGGGAUCUGACAGGGUCAUCACUGGGGAGCGCUGAUAGAGUGAGGAGAGCAUCCUAAAAGCCUGCUUUCUGACUUUGUUACCCCUGAUGUGGCCUGUGGCACACAUCCCAUCUGAGAAGCUCUCAGAUUUCCCCGCCCCAGAAUACUACUACAGAAAUGAGCUCCCCUGCUUAGGCAUGUGAAACCCUAAUCCUAACCCUAACCCUAACCCCAACUCCUCAAAGAUCCAACCAUCACAUUCUACUUCUAAUGAUCAAAAGGGGACGGCCCUUUCUGUACCGCUGCGUCCCCAGCAAUACUCUGGGCAUCCUGGAAGUCUUGGUAAGGCUUCACAUUCAGCUCCCCAGCCCCAUUACACCAUUUGGACAGACCGCUGUCGGGUGCGAGUGUUUGGGUAAAGAUGUCGAGGAGGCAGACUGAGCACAGAUCAGGUUGAAGGGUGAGUACAGCCUUGCAGCAAAUGACUUAAAUGCAGAAAUACCUAGAACCGGCACAAGCUUCCACUUUCUGCUGUUCGAAGGACUCCAGAAGUUACCUGUAACUGGCCACAGAACUGAAGACAACAGAGACAAUGAGAUCUGGCCAAACAGGGGCAGCGAUCAACUCGGUAUGCCAAAGACGAAGGUGACACCAUCUGCAGCUUCCGGCAGCCUCUGAGCCGCUACAGCGCCGCGCGUGAGGAAACGCCCACCCCACCCCUCCGCCGGACUGAGGUUAACUACCUGUGUCACAGGAGCACAGAGGGCAUGUCUGCAGUUAACAGCGACUGCUUCACGGGCCCGGAGCUGACAGAGGCAGCUGAAUGCUGAAUGACGAGAGACACAGCGGGAACACGCUCCGUCACUCGGAGGAAAUGACACGCGCACUUGUGGCGCUCAUUCAUAUACUUACUAACUACAUGAGUAUUGAUAUGUUAAGCAAUGCAAUAAUCUGUCUAAAAGACAUUAGAGGAGGCCGAUUCUGCAUUUCAGAUUAAAAUCAGGGAAGCAGGUGCGGCUUCAGCAAACGGUCAUGAAAGAGCAUCCCUUCAGCGCGAUUCAGAUGAAAGCAUCCAGAGGCCGGCUUCCUAAAGCAUCUUUUAAUACUAAUGUACAUUAUACGUGCACUUCUUUUGUACAGCUUCUUACAAUGCAUCAGUCAGUUACUGGUGCUGAAAUGAAAGCUCAGAAAAGCCGCUUUUUUUUCUCAUGCCUGAAAGGAAAGCUUGGCUUCGAGAAAAAAAAAAAAUGAGAAAGCUUCGGGGCUGGCAGGGCGAGCUGCUGGGUACCCUGAGCGCGUCUCUCCAAAACAUCUGCUCCAAGGUGUCAGAAAUCUUCAAGGGAGCCCCCCCCCCCCCCCCCCCAGCCC